UUAAAUUGAAAAAAAUGCAAGCUUCCUUGAGCUGGAAAAUUCAUUGAGGACAAGAUGAAAUAACAUGUCAAUCAAUAUCAUAUGGCUUUCAAAGGAAUAAAAGAAUUUUCUUCCGAUAUGCUGUUCAUCAUCAAUUACCACAGUGAAAAAUGCAGAAAGAAACUAAAUGCACGAGCAAACAAUAAUACCAGG